AUGGAAAGAUGUCCGCCUGCAACUGCUGAAAAUGCAACAUGCUGCCCAGGUCCUGCUCAGACCACUGACAACUCAGAAGUUAAUACUCAGAGUGGAAAGCCUUCUGGAGGUGAGACCCGGGAACACCAGGCAGAAAAAGCAGGAAGAUCAUUCUUCAGGGAGCUUGUGUGCCUGCCUGAAAAGCUGGCUAGGCAUUCGUCAAUUAACAGGAUGAAGAUAGCAGUGGGGAUCAGGAAAACCCAUCACCUUGGUGCAUAUGGAAGCUAUCGCAGGCACCUCAACUGCAGUGCCUGUUUUUCACAGCAUGAGUUCACUUCCCUUAAUCAUACUUUAUGCUCUCCAAAAAUAAUGCGGAGGAAGCAUACAUUAUGUACUUAAAGAUACACCAUCUGUUUUCUUUCUCUGCCAAGAGAGGAAUUCCUUACUAAAAUGAAAGCCUCGGGUCAUCAUAGGAAGCAGAAAGCUAAGAUGAAUGCCUUUUCUUUUUUUCACCACAAACAUAAGUAUAAACUCUUUCCCAUGGCCGUUCAAUAAAACAGGUGAAUAUGCUUAACUUUCACACACAGGCCAUUAACUAAAAGCAAACUCAAAC
ensembl:lincRNA